rnacentral:rRNA from 1 species
CCUACGGGAGACAGCAGUGAGGAAUAUUGGUCAAUGGCCGCAGGGCUGAACCAGCCAAGUCGCGUGAGGGAUGACGGUCCUAUGGAUUGUAAACCUCUUUUGUCAGGGAGCAAAGGGCGCCACGUGUGCCGCUUUGCGAGUACCUGAAGAAAAAGCAUCGGCUAACUCCGUGCCAGCAGCCGCGGUAAUACGGAGGAUGCGAGCGUUAUCCGGAUUUAUUGGGUUUAAGGGGUGCGCAGGCGGAAUGUCAAGUCAGCGGUAAAAUUUCGGGGCUCAACCCCGUCGUGCCGUUGAAACUGGCGUUCUUGAGUGAGCGAGAGGUAUGCGGAAUGCGUGGUGUAGCGGUGAAAUGCAUAGAUAUCACGCAGAACUCCGAUUGCGAAGGCAGCAUACCGGAGCUCAACUGACGCUGAUGCACGAAAGCGUGGGUAUCGAACAGGAUUAGAUACUCCGGUAGUC